rnacentral:lncRNA from 1 species
AUGUAUCUGGCCUGCAUUGUUGGAUCAUUUAUGAUUCUCUUUGCUGCUGCUGAGAGUUCUCAAUAUGAGGCCAUUCAUGAGAUGCUACAGGCUGUCACCUCCCGUGACAAUCAGGAUGAUUGUAAUCCUUCCAAGAUCACCAUAAAAUGUUGUAUAUGUUUGAAAAUGCUAGCGAAAUAUUUACCCAUUAUAAAUAAUAUGAUUGACAAGGUACGUUUUUACUGUUAUUUCUUUUUUCUUUUUAUUCUUUGUUCCAACAAAGCUCACUAUUUGUGCAUUUUAGUUAUAUAUUUAUUUAAAAAUGUUUAUGAAUGUAAUUUUCUAAGCCAUCCUUAGAAAUUGCAUUUGGUAUUAUUAUUAGUCAUAUUAUGGUUACAGUUUUGUUAUUAAUUCUCUCUAUGAAACUGUUCACAGUAAAUGAUGUACUAAUGUAAGUUUAAUUUAUUAAAACUAUCUUUGUUUCCUCACUCAGAAAAUAAACGCUGUAUGCCAUGCCAACUUAUUUCUCUGGAAACCAUGUCAAUCGCUUGCCAAAAAAAUAAAAAAAGGUUUUUCAAGGAUUUUUCCCUAAAGGAUCCUGCACUAAGUACAAAAUGUGCAAAUGAAAGGACUGAUUAAACCUGAACUAACGAGUCAGUCAAAGUACCAGAUCUUUAGAUAAGAUUGUUCACUUGUUUGUUUUGGCAGAAGCAUGAACUAAUAAAUAUUCUGUAUGACAAAGCAGCAUGAGCAGAUCAUUCAUUCUGUGUUUUAAAUUCAUCUAGGAAGCAAAUAACUGACAUCUGAAACAAAAAGUCUAAUAAUACUGAUUGUUAUUUAGCCAUUUACACUACUAUAAUGUAAUUUAGUGAUUUAAUAUCUGUACACCAGCUUUAAUUCAAUACAUCAAAAAUCAAUAUACCAUUUUUCAAGAAUUCAGGUGCAGUAUUACUGAUGGUUAGGUGAACUGAAGAGACAGUCAGUGUAGAAAAUGCUGACCGGAGCUCUUAUGAAAAAACGCUUGACACUUUGGUCCACAGUGGUUUUGGUGCCAUGAACAUCAGCACUCCAAAAGACUUGCACAAACAUUUAUUAUCUUUCAAAGUUCUUCAUAACUGUGAAGAGGACAAACACAAGAGAGACAGUUUCACGUGAUCUGAAAAUCACCUGAACUCUUAAAGAAAGCAGAUGUGUUUUGGCUUAGUGACUUAUUAAGAAGAGGAUUUGAAGAAUAAUGUCUCCUGUUGUUCAUUUUGGACUGCUUAUUGCAUGCUCAGGUGAGUUUGAAGAACUAAUUGAAUUCAACUUAAAAUUUAUUCUAUGGCUCGUUCAUUGAUUUGCAUUUACUUUAUUAUUAGUAUAAUAUUAAUCAAAUUCUGCUCUCAAGUAUAAUCUGUUUUUGUGGCUCAGUUCUUGUUGGGUGCAGCAGCAUUAACAAGAAACAAUGGAAGAGCAUGCUGAAUAGAAAUGAGCUGAACCUUCUCGAAGAAGUCAAAAUGAGUCCUGAAUUGAACAUGGAGGUAAACUGAAGCAUAAUGUAAUGGAAUAGAUUUAAUUAUUAUUAUUUUCCCCUGCCUUGCACUUCUUAAAUGUUUUACCAUCCCCCAGAAGUCCGACAUGAACGCCAUUAUGUGCUGGGUUUGCAAGAAAUCAAUUCAUGAGAUCAAGGGUGUGGUUCUCCGUCAGAUUAAAAAGGUGAACUAAAACUCUUUUACUUAUAUUGUACAGAUAUUUUGCUUAAAGGCCUGACCAGUCUUUAAUAAAAUGUGUUUUCUUUAAGGAAAUAAAGGCACUGUGCAGAGCAAUGAAAAUCCUUGAACACAUCUGUGAGAACAGUGCUUAUAAAUACCAGUUAAUGAUACUUCAUCUACUGUUUCCUAGAAAUAGCAAACAAACGUGUCACCAUUUGGGUGUGUGUAAAUGAAUUGUAUUGCUCUGUCAUGAAGAACCAAAUUAUUUUCCAAAUAUUUCAAUAAAUAAGUGGUCUGUUUGAUGGUGAUUUUUUUUUUUCCAAUGCAGGCAAUUCAAUGCUACUUUUCUAGAAUAUUGUGUGCAUUGUACGCUGUAUAAACCAUUAUAAGCAAAAUCUAAUAACCAACAAAGAUGCAAUACAUUUGUUUAUUUGAUUUAAUAUAGGCUAAUUUACUGCUUCUUGUGCAUAUUUUGUUCACUAAUCAUGUCAUGAUACUAGAUUUUAUUUGCAUUUGCUGAAAACCUUUUUAUAAAUAAAACAGCAAGCCUUCUCAGAUAUGGCCAAUUUGAGUUUUUAUAUAUUCUGACCUCUGAUUGAAGAAUAUUUGACCAUGUGACUGCUGACACAAUUCCCGCGCUGCCCGGGAAGGGAGAGGAUGUGCACGUGCACGACGUCCAGUUUGAAAUAUUAUGAUUUUGUCUUAAUUCACCUUUAAAGUAUCAUUAAUGUUAUGCACAUCAGCUAAACUGCAAUCUUACCUUCUCCAGUAGUCGAUCUAAACACAUCUCUGAAAACCAUGCGCGUGUCGUAAUUAAGUUACUGAGCCGCGGUUUUUUAAACUGAGGUAAAUUUUGUUUACAGGUGAAAACUCGCUCAUAUAAGGCUAAAAAAAAUCAUCAUAACCACAUAAAUUUAAGCAUAUAAACAUUUAAGCUUAAAUUUGAGUUAUAUAGGAAUGCUAAGAGUCAAUUUUAUCGAUUUAGGGGAUAGAAAUUAAAUAACAUUUAGAAAAUAUCUGGGAAUAUGAACAAACAGGAAUUACAUAAAUUAAUACCCAUGUAAUUUUUGCUAAAAUAAUUAUUCAAUUAUAAUAUGUACACAGUGGCAGGUCUGUAAUAUCG